UACGAAGGGGGCUAGCGUUGUUCGGAAUCACUGGGCGUAAAGCGCACGUAGGCGGAUCUUUAAGUCAGGGGUGAAAUCCCGAGGCUCAACCUCGGAACUGCCUUUGAUACUGGGGAUCUCGAGUCCGGGAGAGGUGAGUGGAACUGCGAGUGUGGAGGUGAAAUUCGUAGAUAUUCGCAAGAACACCAGUGGCGAAGGCGGCUCACUGGCCCGAUACUGACGCUGAGGCACGAAAGCGUGGGGAGCAAACAGGG
rnacentral:rRNA from 1 species